GAGAGAGGGAGGGAGAGGUGGAGAAUUGAGAGUCUUAAAUCUAAGAGUUUUCUUUUCCCUCUUUUUUUUGGUCCAUUUUUGAGGCUUAUUGGACUAUGCUACAAAAUGGCCAAUUUAUUGUUUGGGAGAGAGGGAGAAAAGUGCAAAGGGAGGGGGCUAUUCAUCUUCCACCCUCAUAAUAACAAAUCAUCUUUACCUGUAAGUCAGUGAUGUAGAACGAGAAGAACACAAAAGACACAACAAAUUUUCAACUUUAUUAAUUCUCAAUAUCAAUAACAAGAAUGAUAAACUCCCCUAAAAUAUGUAGAGUUACAAUCCUCAACAAGAAAUUACUAAGCAAUAUCUAAUUAGGAAUCUCACACUAAUGCUAAAAGGAAAAUACUAAACCUAAUUACUCUUUAAAUAUUGCUAAACAAUAAAAAUAUAACUUCUUAAUUAAAUUUCCUAAACAAUAAA
rnacentral:misc_RNA from 1 species